UUUGAGAUUUAUUCCAGAAAUGAAGAAAGGUACCUGGGCAUAAGCAGCUCAUGAGAUGCACUUCUCAGGCAAUAUGCCAUGAUUUAAUCGACUUUGGAAGGUGGUCCACUGAGGUUUGAAUACAUACAAAUAUGAAAGAAUUAAAGUGAUUUAAAUGCUCAUUACUACUAUGCAGAACUGAGGAAAUGUAACCUCCAGGUAGUCUUAGAGCAUUAUACUGUGAAUGCAGGAAAUGUUUAGGCAUCUGGUCUCAAAUACAGGACUUUCUCCUGUAUAAAUUAAAUACAUUAAUGGCAGAAAGUUAUGGAAAAAUUAUUUUCUUCAAUGGCAGAACACAAAGGAAGUAAAGGUACUUUUAUUAACUGCAUUGUACAAAUGAGGAAACUGAAGCUCCAAGGAAUUGAUAACUCGCCCGAAGUCAUACAAUUAAUCAGAUUCUACAGGAGUCAUCAAACUCUGGCAGUCCGGCCCCAGAUCCUGAGGCUUCUUUCAAUGUACUUCCAAAGACCAAAAAAAGAUGCGUACAUCCAACUUGGACUGUGACACAGUUGUUCAGUAAGAAGUAAAGUGGAAGGAACAUUGUUACUCAAGUAAUGAAAAUGAGACGAAUACCUGUCCUAUUUACUUUAAGGGAUUUCUGACUGUUGAAAACAUAUUCAAAAUAAUAAAGAUGACAUGAAAAUAUAUAAGCUAUGGAAUGGAUUAAAUGCAAAUGACAAGCACGUAUGUACAAAGGUGCAUAUGUAUACGCCAUCAAGUAAGAAUACAUAAAUUGUAAAGAGUAGAAGAUUUUAAACUUUGUUUUUCAAAUGAUAACCUGCAAUAGUUGAAAUUUAUAUUUGACUUAGAAAUUAUAUAAUUAAGCAUUGCUUUACUGUGCACCUAACUGCAUAGCCUUCACUUUACAUUGGUCAGCAUGAAUUAUAAGUGUCAAAUGAUGGCUGCUUAUAAAUGUUGUAGCUAUACUUUAUAAACUAACCGGCCCAGAGAUAAUUGAUUUUAUUUUUCUCAGCAUUAUAAUUCAUACAUCAGUUUAGGUGUUUCUAUUAGAUAUGAUACCAGUUUGGUCCCAGCUUUUUAAAAGAAUAGUAACAUGGGCAGCCGUAGUGUAGUAGAAAUCAUUUUUAACACUAUAUGAAAAGAAGUAAAUGCAAUAUGUUUUUUACAAUGGCAGACAAUUUUUGCAGGAAAAAAAGCCUGGAAGAAAUAUUAUAUAACAUGUUCUGUAAUUUAGCAACAAUUAUCAAUGUGAUAGGUGGAAAAUCAUGAUAUUGCUUACCUAUAAAAUGUAUUGUGACAACUUAUAGAUGUGAAUAAAGUUUAAUUUCUAUCUGAAGAUGGUUCUUGCAUUAAAAAUUGUAGAAUUUGGAAUCUACUUUAUUGAAUUGUCAUUUACUUUUAGCUAUACUUUUAGAAAAUAAAUCUUUAGAAGUAGCAAGUAAUGAAUGAUUGCAGAUGAUUGUUGAA